AAGUCGUAACAAGGUCUCCGUUGGUGAACCAGCGGAGGGAUCAUUACUGAGUGUAAAAACUCCCAAACCCAUUGUGAACAUACCUCUGUUGCUUCGGCGGAUGCGCCCCGGGCGCGCCUUCACAGGCGUGCCCCGGAUCAAGGCGCCCGCCGGGGGACCGAAACUCUUGUUUUCUUAGAGAAUCUCUGAGUAUGAUUAUAAAUCAAAUCAAAACUUUCAACAACGGAUCUCUUGGCUCUA
rnacentral:misc_RNA from 1 species